rnacentral:rRNA from 1 species
AGAGUUUGAUCCUGGCUCAGGACGAACGCUGGCGGCGUGCUUAACACAUGCAAGUCGAGCGAGGCCCACACCUUCGGGUGUGGUGCCCUAGCGGCGAACGGGUGAGUAACACGUGGGCAACCUGCCCCUAGCACUGGGAUAAGCCCGGGAAACCGGGUCUAAUACCGGAUAUGACAUCGGAGGGCAUCCUCCGGCGUGGAAAGGAUUCUGGCUAGGGAUGGGCCCGCGGCCUAUCAGCUUGUUGGUGGGGUGAUGGCCCACCAAGGCGACGACGGGUAGCCGGCCUGAGAGGGCGACCGGCCACACUGGGACUGAGACACGGCCCAGACUCCUACGGGAGGCAGCAGUGGGGAAUAUUGCACAAUGGGCGAAAGCCUGAUGCAGCGACGCCGCGUGAGGGAUGACGGCCUUCGGGUUGUAAACCUCUUUCAGCUCCGACGAAGCGAAAGUGACGGUAGGGGCAGAAGAAGCACCGGCCAACUACGUGCCAGCAGCCGCGGUA